UAACGACUCUCGGCAACGGAUAUCUCGGCUCUCGCAUCGAUGAAGAACGUAGCGAAAUGCGAUACUUGGUGUGAAUUGCAGAAUCCCGUGAACCAUCGAGUCUUUGAACGCAAGUUGCGCCCCAAGCUGUUAGGUUGAGGGCACGUCUGCCUGGGUGUCACG
rnacentral:rRNA from 2 species